rnacentral:lncRNA from 1 species
ACAAGUGACUACCAAGAAAUCCUUAAGAUGGUUCUUGGUGUACAGACUAGCUCUUACUUUUCUUUGUUGAGCAAGACUUUGUAUCAUGAGCUCUUCGAAUCCUAAGAUAUUGUCAUCACUCUCAUUUUACAGAGGAGGAAACUGAGGCUCGGAGAAGCCAGGUAUCUUGCCCUGGGUCACACAGGGCUAGUUAGUGGCAGAGCCAAGCUCCCAUGUCUGUUCAGAGCCAGAGGUCUAACAGCAUCCUCUUAAGGAGCCAGCCAGGUACACCUGCUAGCAUUUCUGUGUUAGCAACAGCACAAAAUGCUGCUGUUGUCAAGGUUAGGGUGGAGAAAAUGGGGAGGGUGCUGCUUCCUGGCUGGGGUGCACGUGUGGUUUUCCUCUACAUAAAUAUGUGCAUAUAUAAUGCAUGCAGGCAUAAUAAAUAGGGAAGGCUGCAGGCUUAUGCACAUACAGGGUUUCUGGUGUGCCUGUGUGUGAGUGCAUGAACAUACAUGCAGCUGACUGAAUGAUGCAGCUGCCGCCCAAGCUGCUCGUGUGUGUGUGUGUCGGGGUGUAGUUCGGGAGCCUCUUCCAAAACAAAGCAGCCUGCCUCCUGCUUCACUGUCCCAACCAAGGGAUUCCUUUCUGCUCACUCCACCCUAUCUGUGACUCUUUUCCCCCACUCCCUUUAGGCAUAUACAGAAAAGCCCACACAUGAUGCCUGGAAAAUUGUAUGUGGUUAACACUAGUUGCAGAAUGAAAGGGAAAAAAAUGGGUGUGCAGACCACCAAGAAAAAUGGGAAUGACCAUUUCUUGAGGGCCUGCUAUAUGCUAAGCACUUAAUCCUUCUUCCAACCCUGAGAGCACCAGGCACAGAACUUGGUAUGUGGUAGACAUUUAAUACCUAUGAAUGAGGCACAUACUAUUAUGAUGUCUAUUUUAGAGAUGGGGAAACCGAGGCUCAGAGGGGGUGCAUUGACUUGCCCAAGACUCCACAACUGAGCUGGGAUUUGAACCCAGGUCUCCUCUGAUUCCAAAGCCCUUGCACUUUCUGCUGCACCACACUGUGGAGUGCUGGGUGGAGAAAGGAAGUGUUCGCUUCCUCUGCUGCAGUGUGGACUAGCUGUUUUUGAUGCUCAAAGGAGACUCACAAUGGGGCUAGGGGCCUUUUGGGGCAAACCUCUGUCACUCCCCUUCCUGGUGCAUAAACUACUCACCCCUCCCUGGAGCUCCUCAAGCCCCUGCCUCAGCCCAAGCCCACUUGGACCUGGACCUGUCACUGGAUUCGUUCACACGGGCCAAGCCUUCCCACUGGCCCAUGUCUGAGGCCAUCAUCUCUGUGGCCAGUGCACAGGGGAGGACACUGCACCAGUUUAGGAACUGCACUAACCACAAGGAGAGUAAGAAGCAGGAGUGAAAUGGCCAAAGGCUGGAUUCAGGAAGUGGAGAAGGCAAACUCCACGUGGGCAGGGAUCCUGUUUUAUCAUCUCUGCUUCCUCACUGUGCACAGAACAGUGCCGGGCACAACUCAAUGCGGAGUUGCUGCCUAAGCCUGUGACCCUGAGAACGCAGGUGCUGCCAGAAUGGAACCCUUAGAGCGAGCUGGACUCUGGCAGCACACAUGGCCUGUGAGGACCCCUUCUCUGUCUCCCACAGACCCUCAAUGGCCUCCCAUUUCCAUUUUUGUACCCCACAGUCUGGGAGCUCCACCCCAGUUCUGUCCUUGGCUGAGUCAUCUUGGUGUCCCCAGGCCUGGCUCAGGGCCUGGCAUGGAGGAGGAGCUGGGUAAAUGUUUGUGGUGUUAAAUUGGACCAGUCUCCAGCUCCUCACUGCCUCCACAUCUGAGGAGCCCCAGGGAAGGGGCCGACAAAGAGAGAUGAAAGAAGGUGAGAAGCAGGUUUCAAAGUUGGCCCUUUCAGUGCAGAUAAAAGCAGGAGGGAAGGGAGCCAAAGCGGGGAGGAGGGAGAGGACUGAGAGGGGGCAUGGAGAGUGGAAUUGGAGAGGAGGGGAGCCGGCAGAUGGGAGGACUGACCUGGGGCCAAGGACUCGCCUCCCGCUCCGUGUUCUUACCUCCCUGG